rnacentral:rRNA from 1 species
AACCAACAGGGAUUGCCCUAGUAACGGCGAGUGAAGCGGCAACAGCUCAAAUUUGAAAUCUGGCGUAAGCCCGAGUUGUAAUUUGUAGAGGAUGCUUCUGGGUAGCGGCCGGUCUAAGUUCCUUGGAACAGGACGUCAUAGAGGGUGAGAAUCCCGUAUGUGACUGGCUUGCACCCUCCACGUAGCUCCUUCGACGAGUCGAGUUGUUUGGGAAUGCAGCUCUAAAUGGGAGGUAAAUUUCUUCUAAAGCUAAAUACCGGCCAGAGACCGAUAGCGCACAAGUAGAGUGAUCGAAAGAUGAAAAGCACUUUGGAAAGAGAGUUAAAAAGCACGUGAAAUUGUUGAAAGGGAAGCGCCCGCAACCAGACUUUGCGGCGGUGUUCGGCUGGUCUUCUGACCGGUUUACUCGCCGCCGUGAGGCCAUCAUCGUCUGGGACCGCUGGAUAAGACCUGAGGAAUGUAGCUCCCUUCGGGGUGUGUUAUAGCCUCUGGUGAUGCAGCGCGUCUCGGGCGAGGUCCGCGCUUCGGCAAGGAUGAUGGCGUAAUGGCUGUCGGCGGCCCGUCUUGAAACACGGACCAAGGAGUCUAACAUCUAUGCGAGUGUUCGGGUGUCAAACCCCUACGCGUAAUGAAAGUGAACGGAGGUGGGAACUUUUUGUGCACCAUCGACCGAUCCUGAUGUCCUCGGAUGGAUUUGAGUAAGAGCAUAGCUGUUGGGACCCGAAAGAUGGUGAACUAUGCCUGAAUAGGGUGAAGCCAGAGGAAACUCUGGUGGAGGCUCGCAGCGGUUCUGACGUGCAAAUCGAUCGUCAAAUUUGGGUAUAGGGGCGAAAGACUAAUC